rnacentral:misc_RNA from 1 species
GGAUGAGGCUCAUGGUGCCUCCGGUCAUCACCAUCUCCCUGAUUUUGAUCUCGAAGGAGGAGCUGAGGAUGAAGAUUUUGGAGACUUCUCCGAUUUCGAAGACUCGGAAGGUGAUAGAGAUGAGUACAAGGCGCCGGUGGUGGAUGAAAAGGACGUUGUCGUCUUGAAGGAGGGUAACUUCAGCGAUUUCAUCAAGAACAAUCGGUUCGUUAUGGUGGAGUUUUAUGCUCCAUGGUGUGGUCAUUGUCAGGCGUUGGCGCCUGAAUACGCGGCUGCGGCCACUGAUUUGAAGGCUGAGAACGUGGUUUUGGCGAAGGUUGAUGCGACGGAGGAGAAUGAAUUGGCGCAGCAGUACGAUGUUCAAGGAUUUCCUACUGUUUAUUUCUUCUCUGAUGGAGUUCACAAGCCUUAUCCUGGACAGAGGACCAAGGAUGCUAUAGUAACCUGGAUCAAGAAGAAGACCGGACCUGGUAUUUACAACAUAACUUCGGUGGAAGAUGCUGAACGCAUUCUGACUUCUGAAACUAAGGUUGCUGUUGGUUACCUGAACUCCUUGGUGGGCUCUGAGAGUGAUGAGCUUGCUGCUGCUUCAAGACUGGAAGAUGAUGUCAACUUUUACCAAACGGUGAAUCCUGAAGUGGCAAAGCUUUUCCACAUUGAAGCUUCAGCGAAACGCCCUG